rnacentral:tRNA from 1 species
GGGCCUAUAGCUCAGCUGGUUAGAGCGCACGCCUGAUAAGCGUGAGGUCGAUGGUUAGAGCGCACGCCUGAUAAGCGUGAGGUCGAUGGUUCGAGUCCAUUUAGGCCCA